rnacentral:rRNA from 1 species
AUGAACGCUGGCGGCGUGUCUAAGGCAUGCAAGUCGAGUGGGUUUAGACCCACGGCAAACGGGUGAGUAACACAUUGGUAACCUGCCCCGAAGUUCAGGAUAACCCCGCGAAAGCGGGGCUAAUACUGGAUGCGCUCCGAUGACAUAUGUCAUUUGAGCAAAGAUUUAUCGCUUCGGGAGGGGCCUAUGGCCUAUCAGCUAGUUGGUGAGGUAACGGCUCACCAAGGCUUUGACGGGUAGCGGGCGUGAGAGCGCGACCCGCCUCACUGGGACUGAGACACUGCCCAGACUCCUACGGGAGGCUGCAGUCAAGAAUAUUCCCCAAUGGCCGAAAGGCUGAGGGAGCGACGCCGCGUGACUGAUGAAGCCCUUCGGGGUGUAAAGGUCUUUUAUUAGGGACGAACCUAUGACGGUACUUAAUGAAUAAGGGGCUGCUAACUUCGU